AUUAUAAGAUAUAUAGAGAUUAAAGAAUAGUGGGUUGAGAGUAGAGGGGGUGGAACUUACAAUUUGUUAGAUAUGUCUCGAGUUCUAGAACCGCAAGGUUUUCUAACUCUAUUCUAUUUUGGUUAUCGUAUUAAAUUAAAUUUAGAUUAUAUCUAAUCUAAUUAAGUAUUCCUAGUUUUAGUGAAUUUGUAUUCUUAAUUAUAUUAAGAUUUAGCUAUUAUUAUAAAUAUACCUUUUAUUCUAUUGAUUUGGUGCCACAGAUCAGUGUGAGAGUAUGGGUGUAUUUUUGAAAUUAAGAUUUUGUGAGAGAGGCAUAUUUGUACACCACUUCGAUUAUAAUAAAGAUCUCCGCUUUGUCUUCGUCAGUGGAUGUAGGCCGGUGAUCGAACCACGUAAAUAUUGUAUGCUAUAUUUUCCUUCUCUCUUUUUUGGAUCUUGUUUAGUAUUUUCGUAUCCGGCGAAUUAGAUCUUUUCCGCGUUUCAUUGGUCCAAACAUCAAGUGCUUUCUUC
rnacentral:lncRNA from 1 species